AUGUCCGUAUUACAUGUCCUGCGCACAGUGGAUCACUGUUUUACAAUUAUAAGGGCUAUAAUUCAAUAGUUUUAUUAGCUCUUGUAGAUUCUAGAUAUAGAUUCAUUUUUGUCGAUAUAGGAGCGUAUGGCAAGGAAAGUGACUCCACCGUUUUCCAGAACUCUAAACUUUAUGAUUUGAUUAUGACACGCAAAUUACCUAUUCCUGUACCAAAGCCUUUACCAGGUUCUCAAAAUGAAACUCCAUUUGUUUUUGUAGGAGAUGAAGCAUUCUCAAUUUCGAAUAACGUCAUGCGCCCUUACUCAGGAAAACAUUUGUCGGUACAACAAAGAGUUUACAAUUAUCGACUGAGUCGUGCCCGAAGAUAUGUCGAGUGCGCUUUUGGCAUCCUAGCCAAUAAAUGGCGCAUAUUUCAUCGAUCUAUGAAUGUGCAAUACGAAUUUGCGACAGACAUUAUCAAGGCAUGUUGUGUAAUGCACAACUUUGUUUUGAAUCGAGAUGGAGUACAAGCGACCGAUGACAUUAUCUUUGAUGAUUCUGAUCUGCAAAUGUUGCAUUUGCCCACAGCAAAUGAAAAUAAUUUAAGCCCACAUCUAAUACGGAAUGAUUUUUGUAAUUACUUUUCCAGUGAUGUUGGCGCCCUAAGUUGGCAAUUAAACAAAAUAUGAAUGUUCGUAUACCUACUCAGUUCAAAAUACAAAUAAUACCUUAAUACAUUUGAUUCAAACUAUUUAACAUGUUGUGAACUGCGAAUAAACAAUUUAAAUGGCAAUUUGGUUUUAUUUAUAGUAUUUGUUUACCUUUUUGAAUAAGAGCGCGAGAAAAAAAUAUAAUUUUAACUUAGAGAAAAUCUUUUGCAUAGGGCAUUAAAAUAAAUGGUGUAUUUCAUAUGAUUAAAAAAAAAAGAUACAUGCUACUUACAUUAAACUACAAUUUAAACCGCGGAUCAGAUUUUUACGUUUUUACUACAGUAAAAAUUGUAGUUUUAUUGUGAAUAGUGAUCGCGUAAACCUAAGACCAAUGAUAUUAAAUAAAACAAGUAGCAGAUAUGUUAUAAGCGCGCGCGCUGUGAAGAUUCAAAUACGUCCCAAUUGGGACGUCUUGUAAUUAGUCUGCAUUGAGCUCUAUCACAAGCGUACCGCAUUGUAGGUCUCUGUGUACUUACCAAAAAUAAAUAAAAAAUGCCAUCGUUUGUGUUUCGGAAGUGUACCAAUUAUGACUCUAAAGUAAACAAAAUACAAGGGAUCUCUUACCACAUGUGAAUAUGCAAAGAAACUUAGAAUAUUUUAGUAUAUUUCAAUUAUUUUUGCAAAUUAUCUAGUAACUAACGCAAGACGCCAUGUUCAGGUGAAGAAAGAGAAAGCGAUCUAGUUUUGACGCUAGAGCGAUAAGGAUGCGUGCGCUGCGACAUAGAUUAGUUUCCGACUGAUCCGGUCAGACUACAAGUUUGGAUAGCAAUUGUUCGUGACAAAGAAGCGAAUCAGGCUGGAUACCAUCAAAAAUCAGCAGAAUUUGUAGCAAUCACUUCAAAACUACUAACAAAUAUGUUUCGAAAAAAGGACGAACACUACUCAAAAAAAUGAUGUUCCAUUUAUAGAGGUAAUACAUCAUUCUAUAAAGUAGUAAGUAUGUAGCAGCUGUGGCCUGCAUUUUCAUUCACGUUUAAUUUGUUUGUUCAGCAUAGGUACAAUCUACUUCAAUAAUAUGUCAUUUUUCGAAAGAAUUUUCUCUCACCUCCUAACCAGAGUUUCCCUCGAUUUCCCUGGGAUCAUCAUCAGAUCUUGACUUGGUGACAAUGGGACCACCUCGGAAGUAUAAACUUUCGACCAAAAAAAUAAUAUCAAAAUCGGUUCAUAAACAACGAAGAUGUCCGCGAACAAACAUAACAAAAGCAUAUAUACGGUCGAACUGAGUAACCUCUUCCUUUUUUGAAGUCGGUUAAAAAUGUGUAUUUUAUUUCUUUUCUUUCAUUAUUAAUUAUUUCACUGUUAAAAUUUUCAAUAAAUGUGAUUUACUUUUGUAAGAUGUUUUAUUUCUUAUCUAUGUACUUUUGAAUAGUUUUGAAUCAAGUGUCCACUCUACGACUAUAAAUGUUACUCUAUGCACAAGAAACGUUUGAAGUGCAACCAUUAAAAUUAUAGCUAUCUCUUUCAA